rnacentral:rRNA from 1 species
CAGCCGCCGCGGGAAUACGUAGGGUGCGAGCGUUAAUCGGAAUUACUGGGCGUAAAGCGUGCGCAGGCGGUGCUGCAAGACCGAUGUGAAAGCCCCGGGCUUAACCUGGGAACUGCAUUGGUGACUGCAGCGCUGGAGUAUGGCAGAGGGGGGUGGAAUUCCACGUGUAGCAGUGAAAUGCGUAGAGAUGUGGAGGAACACCGAUGGCGAAGGCAGCCCACUGGGCCAAUACUGACGCUCAUGCACGAAAGCGUGGGGAGCAAACAGGAUUAGAGACCCCUGUAGUCCCUGUCUCUUAUAC